rnacentral:rRNA from 1 species
UACAGAGGUCUCAAGCGUUGUUCGGAUUCAUUGGGCGUAAAGGGUGUGUAGGUGGCGCGCUAAGUCGGGUGUGAAAUUUCGGAGCUUAACUCCGAAACUGCAUUCGAUACUGGCGUGCUUGAGGACUGGAGAGGAGACUGGAAUUUACGGUGUAGCAGUGAAAUGCGUAGAUAUCGUAAGGAAGACCAGUGGCGAAGGCGGGUCUCUGGACAGUUCCUGACACUCAUGAGCGAAAGCGUGGGGAGCGAUCCGG